GGGUUGUGAGGUUAAGCGACUAAGCGUACACGGUGGAUGCCCUGGCAGUCAGAGGCGAUGAAGGACGUGCUAAUCUGCGAUAAGCGUCGGUAAGGUGAUAUGAACCGUUAUAACCGGCGAUUUCCGAAUGGGGAAACCCAGUGUGAUUCGUCACACUAUCAUUACGUGAAUACAUAGCGUAAUGAAGCGAACCGGGGGAACUGAAACAUCUAAGUACCCCGAGGAAAAGAAAUCAACCGAGAUUCCCCCAGUAGCGGCGAGCGAACGGGGAGCAGCCCAGAGUCUGAAUCAGCUUGUGUGUUAGUGGAACGGUCUGGAAAGUCCGACGGUACAGGGUGAUAGUCCCGUACACCAAAAUGCACAGGUUGUGAACUCGAAGAGUAGGGCGGGACACGUGGUAUCCUGUCUGAAUAUGGGGGGACCAUCCUCCAAGGCUAAAUACUCCUGACUGACCGAUAGUGAACCAGUACCGUGAGGGAAAGGCGAAAAGAACCCCGGCGAGGGGAGUGAAAAAGAACCUGAAACCGUGUACGUACAAGCAGUGGGAGCAUCCUUUUGGGUGUGACUGCGUACCUUUUGUAUAAUGGGUCAGCGACUUAUAUUCUGUAGCAAGGUUAACCGUAUAGGGGAGCCGAAGGGAAACCGAGUCUUAACUGGGCGUUAAGUUGCAGGGUAUAGACCCGAAACCCGGUGAUCUAGCCAUGGGCAGGUUGAAGGUUGGGUAACACUAACUGGAGGACCGAACCGACUAAUGUUGAAAAAUUAGCGGAUGACUUGUGGCUGGGGGUGAAAGGCCAAUCAAACCGGGAGAUAGCUGGUUCUCCCCGAAAGCUAUUUAGGUAGCGCCUCGUGAACUCAUCUUCGGGGGUAGAGCACUGUUUCGGCUAGGGGGUCAUCCCGACUUACCAACCCGAUGCAAACUGCGAAUACCGAAGAAUGUUAUCACGGGAGACACACGGCGGGUGCUAACGUCCGUCGUGAAGAGGGAAACAACCCAGACCGCCAGCUAAGGUCCCAAAGUCAUGGUUAAGUGGGAAACGAUGUGGGAAGGCACAGACAGCCAGGAUGUUGGCUUAGAAGCAGCCAUCAUUUAAAGAAAGCGUAAUAGCUCACUGGUCGAGUCGGCCUGCGCGGAAGAUGUAACGGGGCUAAACCAUGCACCGAAGCUGCGGCAGCGACACUAUGUGUUGUUGGGUAGGGGAGCGUUCUGUAAGCCGUUGAAGGUGUAUCGUGAGGUAUGCUGGAGGUAUCAGAAGUGCGAAUGCUGACAUAAGUAACGAUAAUGCGGGUGAAAAACCCGCACGCCGGAAGACCAAGGGUUCCUGUCCAACGUUAAUCGGGGCAGGGUGAGUCGACCCCUAAGGCGAGGCCGAAAGGCGUAGUCGAUGGGAAACAGGUUAAUAUUCCUGUACUUGGUGUUACUGCGAAGGGGGGACGGAGAAGGCUAUGUUAGCCGGGCGACGGUUGUCCCGGUUUAAGCAUGUAGGCGGAGGUUCCAGGUAAAUCCGGUACCUUUUUAACGCUGAGGUGUGAUGACGAGGCACUACGGUGCUGAAGUAACAAAUGCCCUGCUUCCAGGAAAAGCCUCUAAGCAUCAGGUAACACAAAAUCGUACCCCAAACCGACACAGGUGGUCAGGUAGAGAAUACCAAGGCGCUUGAGAGAACUCGGGUGAAGGAACUAGGCAAAAUGGUGCCGUAACUUCGGGAGAAGGCACGCUGAUAUGUAGGUGAAGUGAUUUACUCAUGGAGCUGAAAUCAGUCGAAGAUACCAGCUGGCUGCAACUGUUUAUUAAAAACACAGCACUGUGCAAACACGAAAGUGGACGUAUACGGUGUGACGCCUGCCCGGUGCCGGAAGGUUAAUUGAUGGGGUUAUCCGUAAGGAGAAGCUCUUGAUCGAAGCCCCGGUAAACGGCGGCCGUAACUAUAACGGUCCUAAGGUAGCGAAAUUCCUUGUCGGGUAAGUUCCGACCUGCACGAAUGGCGUAAUGAUGGCCAGGCUGUCUCCACCCGAGACUCAGUGAAAUUGAACUCGCUGUGAAGAUGCAGUGUACCCGCGGCAAGACGGAAAGACCCCGUGAACCUUUACUAUAGCUUGACACUGAACACUGGUCCUUGAUGUGUAGGAUAGGUGGGAGGCUUUGAAGUGUGGACGCCAGUCUGCAUGGAGCCAUCCUUGAAAUACCACCCUUUAAUGGCUGGUGUUCUAACGUGGACCCGUGAUCCGGGUUGCGGACAGUGUCUGGUGGGUAGUUUGACUGGGGCGGUCUCCUCCUAAAGAGUAACGGAGGAGCACGAAGGUUAGCUAAUCCUGGUCGGACAUCAGGAGGUUAGUGCAAAGGCAUAAGCUAGCUUGACUGCGAGAGUGACGGCUCGAGCAGGUGCGAAAGCAGGUCUUAGUGAUCCGGUGGUUCUGAAUGGAAGGGCCAUCGCUCAACGGAUAAAAGGUACUCCGGGGAUAACAGGCUGAUACCGCCCAAGAGUUCAUAUCGACGGCGGUGUUUGGCACCUCGAUGUCGGCUCAUCACAUCCUGGGGCUGAAGUAGGUCCCAAGGGUAUGGCUGUUCGCCAUUUAAAGUGGUACGCGAGCUGGGUUUAGAACGUCGUGAGACAGUUCGGUCCCUAUCUGCCGUGGGCGCUGGAGAAUUGAGGGGGGCUGCUCCUAGUACGAGAGGACCGGAGUGGACGCAUCACUGGUGUUCGGGUUGUCAUGCCAAUGGCAUUGCCCGGUAGCUAAAUGCGGAAGAGAUAAGUGCUGAAAGCAUCUAAGCACGAAACUUGCCCCGAGAUGAGUUCUCCCUGAGACUUUAAGUCUCCUGAAGGAACGUUGAAGACGACGACGUUGAUAGGUCGGGUGUGUAAGCGUAGCGAUACGUUGAGCUAACCGAUACUAAUGAACCGUGAGGCUUAACCUUACAACGCCGAAG
rnacentral:rRNA from 1 species